GGGGACUUCUGAGGAGGCGCUACUCCCUCCAGUAAUCAGUAGGAACCAGAGGAACUAAUCAGAAACUGCCAAGCUGGAGGUCAACCAUGAGACCACCUUCCAAGGUUAACGCUAUCACUCACAGAGGGUGGCUGGGCACCUUUCUCCCUCUGGGGGCACUUACUAAAGAACAUGUUCUGAAACACUGCAGGUUACAUCUCAAGGGGGGUGAGGGGCAUGACCCUGAUGAGCUGAACUCCCAGGAUCCUUUCAACACCAGCAAGCAACUGAACUCGGAAGGCAAUGGCUGGAGAGAAACAGGCAGAGGAAGGAUUGAAGGACAGAAGGACAUGUCCCCGAUCGCCUACCUCGCAACAGUUCCCAAGAGAUGCUCUCUGAGCCACCUCUGUGGAAAACAACAACUUAGAAAAGACAGAAGUGAAUUGAAAGACCUUUUCCAGGUUUGGGGCCAAGAGACUCUCAGAAUAGUCUCGACAAACAGAAAGCUAUUAACAAACCAGCUGAGCAGGUGUUGGAGGACAUCCCAGGAGAAGGCUGGCAUAUGCUGAAAAUUGCAGGAGGCAGCUACACUCUCCAGGGACAGAGAACAAAAAGAAGAGGCCAGCAUUAUCUGGACCCAGGAUGUCAGAAGGGAAGGCCUCCUGAGUGGGGCCCAGCCUGGGGGCUGCCUGCCUCCAGGGGGACACUAGGAACUUCAGCUCAGAAGUGUUGAAAAAUCACAGAAACCAGAACUAUGAGCCUUCUCCAGAAGCCGUCCUUGAAUACCCUGACAGGAACAGGAUACAAAAGUCUGAAGACGACCCUGCAGCCUCCAGUGUGCCCUUCAUGUCUGUGGUCAGAGUGUCUCAGGGAGCCAGCCUGAGACAGAUGGAUACGACUUGCUGAUUCUUCCCUUUUCAUAAAGGCUUCAGCAGGGAUCCCCUUAAGAGGACCCCAUUUAGCAUCCCUUGCUGGGCCUUGUUGCCAGCGGUCCUGCUAGCUGUUCAGUGAAGCAGACUCCUUUGUAGGCAAAGUCUUCCAUGAAUGCACCUUCAAAGUGCCUUUCCUUCGUUUCAACUAAAACGUUUGGAGAAAACUGAGCAUGCCUGGAGGCAUUUGUGCCUGCCAUCUUUACAAAAAGCUUAAGCAAGCUGAACAUCCCCAAAGUAUUCCUGUCCACCAUAGACACAUUCUUGUCCGUGACCUAAGCAUGGUUCUAAGUGUGUCUGAGUAUGUUCAGACUCGCCAGUGAAGUCCAAGCUUCCUCUGUUCAGGGAGGAACAUGUUUGGAAAUCCCCAUUUUUAUUUACCAAUUAUAAGAAAUAAAUCUCUUUUCCUGCUCCUUCUGUCCUUCUCACUACAUAGCCCUGGCUGGCCUGGAAUUAACAAAGAUCCACCUACCCCUGCUGAAAGAGUGCUGGGAUUAAGAGCAUAUACCACCACGUCUGGCUCUUAUGAUUUAGCUAUGUUUUUGGGUUUUGUUGUUGUUUUCAUUCUAUACGCACCAAGAUGUGAACUCCUUGAAUUUAAUGAUCAUCCUAGAAUUAGAAUUUAACGAAGUUCACAUGCACCAGCUGGGUUUUGUUUUAUUUUUGUUUGUUUGGUUUUGGUUUUUGGUGGUAAGGUUUCUCUGUGGCUUUGGAGGCUGUCCUGGAACUAGGUCUUGUAGACCAGGCUGGUCUCACCCACAGAAAUCCGCCUGCCUCUGGCUCCUGAGUGCUGGGAUUAAAGGCAUGUGCCAUCACCACCCGGCUGUUUUUUUGUUUUGUUUAAGAUUCAUUUUAUUUAAGCUAGUAAACAAGGAGGACCCUAAGAGAGACAUACAUGGUCCCCUGGAGAAGGGGAAAGGGUCAAGAUCCCCUGAGCAAAUUGAGAGCACGGGAAGAGGGGGGAGGGGGAGGGAGCUACAAGAAUGAGAAGGGAAGAAGAGGAAGGAUGCAGAGGUCUUGAGGGAGCAGAAAGGCUGAGUCAGG
rnacentral:lncRNA from 1 species